rnacentral:rRNA from 1 species
AAAGUUUUUCAACUAAAAGGGAUAAGGAAAAUGGUCCUUAUCUGCUAUAGGAUAGGAUCGUGUUCGAUUAUGGUUGUUGGUGAGGUAAUGGCUCACCAAGCCGAUAAUCGAUAGGGGCCGUGAGAGCGGAAGCCCCGAGAUGGGUACUGAGACAGCGACCCAGGCCUUACGAGGCGCAGCAGGCGCGGAACCUCCACAAUACACGAAAGUGUGAUGGGGUUACCCAAAGUGUUCUAUUAAGAACUGUGGUAGGUGAGUAAUGUUCCCUACUAGAAAGGAGAGGGCAAGGCUGGUGCCAGCCGCCGCGGUAAAACCAGCUCUUCAAGUGGUCGGGAUAAUUAUUGGGCUUAAAGUGUCCGUAGCCGGUUUAGUAAGUUCCUGGUAAAAUCGGGUAGCUUAACUAUCUGCAUGCUAGGAAUACUGCUAUACUAGAGGGCGGGAGAGGUCUGAGGUACUACAGGUGUAGGGGUGAAAUCUUAUAAUC